AACUAAGAAGGUGAAUUAAAUCUAGAAAAGGUAAGGACUCCAACCUCAUGUAUGACAACNCGACCCCAACCUCAUGUAUGACAACUUAGCAAUGUGAUUCCAAAAUAACAUGAUAUUUGUUUAAUUCUAUCUAAGUUGGUACUUGAAAGUGUUAACAAGCUCUAACACUUCCCAUUCACCACAUUAAUUAACCAAAACAAGCUCUUUGAUUAACCCUAACCUUAAUAACCUAAUCUAAACAAGCUCUUAGAAUUAGAUUAUAAAAUUGCAUGAAGCUUUAUGUGAAUGUUCCCAACAAUAUGCAAUACUCCUCAUAAGCUCGGGAGUGUAAAAGUGUAUGAAUAAGAUUUACACUAAAUUCAUUCAAUAGAGAUCAAUUUAAUGCUUGUUACUUGUUCAAUUUCACAAAACAAUUAUGGAUUUUGUAAAAGAGAUAACUUGAAUGACCUAACCCUAAUUCAAAUGGCCAAUAAGAAUCACAAUUAGAAUCAAACAUUCGAUUGAAGCAAAAUCAAAUUCAUUAGAUAGAAAUUAAGAACAAACAUCAUGUCAUAUGAUUGAAGUCACUACCAAGAAGUCAAAACAUGAAAUUGGAGAAACUAGGGUUCUAGCCACACAUGGCUAGAACAAGAUCACAAGACUAAAAGAUGAAAUUAAGUGUAAUUACAACUUACAAAAACA
rnacentral:lncRNA from 1 species